rnacentral:rRNA from 1 species
AAUCAACGCUGGCGGCGUGCCUAACACAUGCAAGUCGAACGCGAAAGCCCGCAAGGGUAAGUAGAGUGGCGCACGGGUGAGUAACACGUGGACAACCUGCCUUCGAGUGGGGAAUAACCUUCCGAAAGGAGGGCUAAUACCGCAUAACACCUCGGGACACAAGUUCUGGGGUUGAAAAGAGCAAUUUGCUCGAAGAGGGGUCCGCGCCUGAUUAGCUAGUUGGUGAGGUAACGGCUCACCAAGGCUUCGAUCAGUAGCCGUCCUGAGAGGGAGCACGGCCACACUGGAACUGAGACACGGUCCAGACUCCUACGGGAGGCAGCAGUGGGGAAUUUUUGGCAAUGGGCGAAAGCCUGACCAAGCAACGCCGCGUGGGUGAUGAAGUAUCUUGGUACGUAAAACCCUUUCGGCAGGGACGAACCUAAUGACGGUACCUGCGGAAGAAGCCCCGGCUAACUCCGUGC